CUGUGGGCGCUGGUAGACCAGUGGGUCAUUCUGGGGAGGGCAGAAGACAUCUGGCUCAGAAUCAGUCUGAGGGUAUAAACAGGCACGUUUCUUCUCACUCCGAGGCACUUAGCAGAGCACUGCACCUGUGAUAGGGUCGAGUCUACACCACAGUCUUCAACACUGCUGGGACAUGAAUACUCUCAAGGAGUUCCACCUGUCGCCACAUCUCCUGGAAGUGGGCAAUGUGAGAAUGUGCACAGGGAGACCCGCAGCUCAGUGCCCGCUGCUGCUCCUCUGCCCUCUGCGGUCCUCGGAGGUGAGGCCGGGCCACACUUCCCAGGAAUACUUAGGGAAAUUCACUGACGCUGAGCAUGCUGAAAAAUACAGCUGAGUCAUUGCUGGCA